rnacentral:rRNA from 1 species
ACAAUAUACAAGGUGCUGCAUGGUUGUCGUCAGCUCGUGCCGUGAGGUGUCGGGUUAAGUCCCAUAACGAGCGCAACCCCUAUCAUUAGUUGCCAUCAGGUCAAGCUGGGGACUCUAAUGAAACUGCCUACGCAAGUAGUGAGGAAGGUGGGGAUGACGUCAAAUCAUCAUGCCCCUUAUGACCUGGGCUACAAACGUGAUACAAUGGCUGGAACAAAGGGAUGCGAAGCAGUGAUGUGGAGCGAAACCCAUAAAAACAGUCUCAGUUCGGAUUGAAGUCUGCAACUCGACUGCAUGAAGUUGGAAUCGCUAGUAAUCGUGGAUCAGCCAAGCCGCGGUGAAUACGUUCCCGGGCCUU